GCAAGUCGAGCGAUCUCUUCGGAGAUAGCGGCGGACGGGUUAGUAACGCGUGGGAAUAUGCCCCUGGGUAAGGAACAACAGCUGGAAACGGCUGCUAAUACCUUAUGAUGUCUACGGACCAAAGAUUUAUCGCCCAGGGAUUAGCCCGCGUUGGAUUAGCUAGUUGGAGAGGUAACGGCUCACCAAGGCGACGAUCCAUAGCUGGUUUGAGAGGAUGAUC
rnacentral:rRNA from 1 species